rnacentral:rRNA from 1 species
ACGACUGCUAAGACUGGAUAGGAGACAAGAAGGCAUCUUCUUGUUUUUAAAAGACCUAGCAAUAGGUAUGUUUAGGGAGGAGCAUGCGUCACAUUAGUUAGUUGGUGGGGUAAAGGCCUACCAAGACUAUGAUGUGUAGCUGGGCUGAGAGGUUGAACGGCCACAUUGGGACUGAGACAUGGCCCAAACUCCUACGGGAGGCAGCAGUAGGGAAUUUUCGGCAAUGGAGGAAACUCUGACCGAGCAACGCCGCGUGAACGAUGAAGUAUUUCGGUACGUAAAGUUCUUCUAUUAGGGAAGAAUAAAUGAUGGAAAAAUCAUUCUGACAGUACCUAAUGAAUAAGCCCCGGCUAACUAUGUGCCAGCAGCCGCGGUAAUACAUAGGGGGCAAGCGUUAUCCGGAAUUAUUGGGCGUAAAGGGUGCGUAGGCGGUUAAAUAAGUUUAUGGUCUAAGUGCAAUGCUCAACAUUGUGAUGCUAUAAAAACUGUUUAGCUAGAGUAAGAUAGAGGCAAGUGGAAUUUCAUGUGUAGUGGUAAAAUGCGUAAAUAUAUGGAGGAACACCAGUAGCGAAGGCGGCUUGCUGGGUCUUUACUGACGCUGAGGCACGAAGGCGUGGGGAGCAAACAGGAUUAGAUACCCUGGUAGUCCACGCCGUAAACGAUGAGUACUAAACGUUGGGUAAAACCAGUGUUGAAGUUAACACAUUAAGUACUCCNCCUGAGUAGUACGUACGCAAGUAUGAACUUAANGGAAUUUGACGGGACUCCGCACAAGCGGUGGAUCAUGUUGUUUAAUUCGAAGGUACCCGAAAAACCUCACCAGGUCUUGACAUGCUUCUGCAAAGCUGUAGAAACACAGUGGAGGUUAUCAGUUGCACAGGUGGUGCAUGGUUGUCGUCAGCUCGUGUCGUGAGAUGUUGGGUUAAGUCCCGCAACGAGCGCAACCCUUAUUGUUAGUUACCAGCACGUAAUGGUGGGGACUUUAGCAAGACUGCCAGUGAUAAAUUGGAGGAAGGUGGGGACGACGUCAAAUCAUCAUGCCCCUUAUGACCUGGGCUACAAACGUGAUACAAUGGCUGUUACAAAGGGUAGCUGAAGCGCAAGUUUUUGGCGAAUCUCAAAAAAACAGUCUCAGUUCGGAUUGAAGUCUGCAACUCGACUUCAUGAAGUUGGAAUCGCUAGUAAUCGCGAAUCAGCAUGUCGCGGUGAAUACGUUCUCGGGGUUUGUACACACCGCCCGUCA